GAAGGAUAAACGAACAUCUGUAGUAAAAAUACUUAAACAGUCGAAUGUACUUUUUCCUUUUCGAAAACCGUAUUGAGUUUUUGGCAGUAAGUCUUUAUUUUCUAUGUACCAUUCUAGCCGAUUUUUAAUAAGAUGCUCUGCUAUUUUCAUUAGAACCGGACUGAGAACGAUAGGACGAUAUGAUGAAAUAUCAGACGGAAUUUUACUAGGUUUGAGAAUUGGCAACACCACAUGACGUUUCCACAUCUGAGGAAUGUUUCCUGUUGUCAUUACGGAAUUGAUAAGAGAUAAAUAAUAAGAAUGAACAGUGGGACUAACAUUAGAUAAAAAUGAGUAUGGGAUGCCAUCGAUACCUGGAAAUGAGUCUACAGUAUUAGAAAGGAUACCUUUCAAUUCUUCAAUAUUGAAAGGGAUUUUUAAUGACGUGUCAUCAGAGGUUAUAUUGGAUUCCACACGAAUUACCGGUUGUAAAGUAACUUCUUGAGGUACCCAGGGAGGAGCUAAUGUAUCUAUAAAUUCACCUGCUAAAUUAUCCGGGAUACGGGAAGUAUUGUGGUCGGAAAAUGCAGACCGGAAUCUCCUAAUAUUACGCCAAACAGCUGAAGGGGGUGUAUUCGGUGAAAUGACAGAGCAAAAAUUAUGCCAACUCUCUCUUUUCUUCAGUUUAUAAAGUUUUCGAGUCUGUGUAAUGAUACUGGAGAGCUGCAGCUGUGCAUUCCGAGUCCCACCACGGAGGCAUUGGGAUCUUCCUAAAUGAAUGAUUAUUUUUACUGGGAAAGCAUCAUCUGCAGCGGAAACAAGAAUUUUAGCUAAUACUUCUGCACAAUCCUGCUCAUUUCCAUUAUUGACAAUUGGAAGAGAAGAUAGCUGAUUGUCAACAUAAUUUUUAUAAUUUAGCCAAGUGCUGCUCUUACUAUGUGGAAGUUUGUGUUUUAAGUAAGAUAUUCUAGGUUGUGAAUGUGGGAUUGGGAAUGGAAAAGAUAUUUUUAUAGGGAAAUGAUCACUACCAAAUGUUGAGGGAAGGGUGCACCAAGUGAGACUAGAAGCAAAGUUAGGAGUGCAGACAGAUAAAUCUAUUGCGCUAUUGUUAUGACUUGGAUCACUGCGACGUGUAGGGGAACCAGUAUUUAAUAUACAUAAAUUAUGUGUAUCAAAUAUAUUGAGUAGUUCUUCCCCAUAGGAGUUAGAAGUUGAACUACCCCAUGACUGGUGAUGGCAGUUAAAAUCACCUAACAGUAUAUAAGGAUUAGUAAGUGUGGAAAGAAUACUGUUAAUUUCAUUACGUGAAGAAUGAGAAGGGUGAGAUAUAUAUACAGAUAUAAUACAUGUUUUAUUUAUAAUUAUAGCUAUGAUUGAGAUUUCUUCACUGUGUGAUGGUAGAGAAACCACAGUGAAAGGAAUUGAAUCCUUCACAAGUAUAGCUACUCCACCAUAUCCAUCUGGUCUAUCCUCUCUUACUGUUGUAUAACCAUUAAUUUUAAAUAUAUUAUUUGAUUUGAACCAUGUUUCACACAAGGCAAAAACUAAAGGUUCGUAUUUAUUUAUUAAAUAAAUAAUAUCACUUUUUUUAUUUAUUGCGCUGCGGCAAUUCCAUUGGAUUAAAUGAACUUGAUUCUCCAUUUUGGGGUGAUAUAGAAGAAAUGAGACUAUGAAGUGAAGCAGCGUUGGACGGUGAUAUGUUAAAUGAGGAUAAAAGAUUAAUUAAUGCCGUAAUAAAUGCCAUGAUAUUGAAUUGUUUUACAGUAUUGUCUUUAAGUACUUCAUUGAUGGCACAGCCGUUAGUGGGCUCAGGAAUUCUAAAUUCUUUUAAAAUAUUGUUGUGGGCUUCCUUAUUAUACCCUUUAGAAGGGCUCUUGGGGGGCUGAGGUUUGCAAAAAACAGUUAUUUUAUAACUUGAAGAAUGUUGAUUGAACGUAAUAGGUGAAGAAGUUUCAAUUUCUCUGGGAGUUUGAGAUAUAAGGGUGUCGGCAAAAGAUUUAGUCACUGGUGGGAGCAAUUUACUGGCUUCUGCAUAAGAUACAGAGUUCUGGGCCAUAUAGGUUUUAUUUGUAUCUGCCUUGAGAGCUCAGGACAUACUUUACUAGUAGCAAAGUGAAAACCUGAGCAUAAGCAGCAAUUGGCAUUACGUUCAUCCCUGUCACAAGAGUCCCCAGUAUGGCUAUCGCCGCAUUUGUAACACCUUGGUUUGCUCCUACAUUGUAUUUUAGUGUGCCCAAACCGACAGCAAUAAAAGCACUGUAUAGUAGGGUAAAUAUAAAGGUCCACAGGCAUUGAAUUGUAGGACAUAAAAAUUCGUUUUGGAAGAACUUGGCCAUCAAAUGUGCAGACAAUGGUUUGAGAGGGCUUCCACACCAUAGAGCCGUCUACUAAAGUUUUAAAGUUUAAUCUGCGGACUUUUAAAAUAGGUCCACAACCAAUUGGUACUGAUGAAUUUUCUAUUAUCUCUUCCGGAGACCACUCUACUGGCACACCACGCACUAAACCCAUUCUAGUUACGUUAAAAGACGGAAUGAAUGCCUUAUAAUUAAAUUUAGAAAGAUUUUCAUGAGUAAUAAAAGAGUUUGCGUCAAUAAAUGUAGAAAAAGCCAAAGAAAUUUUAUUUCUGCCUAUCCUCUUAACACUACCAUUAAUAAUAUUUUUACAAUUGUUACGUUGUAGGAAUCUCCCAAACGAAAGUGGUAGAGUCAUUGUCCUGAAUAAUAUGUUUUUGUACGUGAAUAACAAAAGGCGCACUAUCCGAACCAUCAUAUACUUUUCUGCCUACAGUUUGCGCGGGAAUCGGGGUUUCUGAGGUAAUAAGUUUGUUAAUCGGUUGGGGUUGACUAGUCUGAGAAAGAUCUUCGCAAUCACAGCCAUGUAGGUUAUCAUCAGAAGAGCCGUGUUUUUUACGUCUUUUAUUGCAACGCUUGCAUACAUGUCGGCGACUUCUUUUCAGAGGCCGGGCUGAUGCAGAUGCAUCUGUCUCCAUACCCGACUCGGAGGCAUAAUUAUGUGACUUUUCAGUCUCAAUUGUGACAAAGUUGCCCGCCGGAGGGACUAAGCCCCCCGGAUCAGGCGGCAAAUUCAUAAGACCUUACUAUUCUACAGUUUAAAUAUAUG